GACGAACGCUGGCGGCGUGCUUAACACAUGCAAGUCGAACGAAGAGCGAUGGAAGCUUGCUUCUAUCAAUCUUAGUGGCGAACGGGUGAGUAACGCGUAAUCAACCUGCCCUUCAGAGGGGGACAACAGUUGGAAACGACUGCUAAUACCGCAUACGAUCUAAUCUCGGCAUCGAGGAUAGAUGAAAGGUGGCCUCUACAUGUAAGCUAUCACUGAAGGAGGGGAUUGCGUCUGAUUAGCUAGUUGGAGGGGUAACGGCCCACCAAGGCGAUGAUCAGUAGCCGGUCUGGGAGGAUGAACCGCCACAUUGGGACUGGGACACGGCCCAGACUCCUACGGGAGGCAGCAGUGGGGAAUCUUCCGCAAUGGACGAAAGUCUGACGGAGCAACGCCGCGUGAGCGAUGACGGCCUUCGGGUUGUAAAGCUCUGUUAAUCGGGACGAAAGGCCUUCUUGCGAAUAGUGAGAAGGAUUGACGGUACCGGAAUAGAAAGCCACGGCUAACUACGUG
rnacentral:rRNA from 1 species